rnacentral:rRNA from 1 species
UUCCCUUCGGGGGCAGAGUGACAGGUGGUGCAUGGUUGUCGUCAGCUCGUGUCGUGAGAUGUUGGGUUAAGUCCCGCAACGAGCGCAACCCUUGAUCUUAGUUGCCAGCAUUCAGUUGGGCACUCUAAGGUGACUGCCGGUGACAAACCGGAGGAAGGUGGGGAUGACGUCAAAUCAUCAUGCCCCUUAUGACCUGGGCUACACACGUGCUACAAUGGACAGAACAAAGGGCAGCGAAACCGCGAGGUUAAGCCAAUCCCACAAAUCUGUUCUCAGUUCGGAUCGCAGUCUGCAACUCGACUGCGUGAAGCUGGAAUCGCUAGUAAUCGCGGAUCAGCAUGCCGCGGUGAAUACGUUCCCGGGUCUUGUACACACCGA